UGGGGAAUAUUGCACAAUGGGGGAAACCCUGAUGCAGCGACGCCGCGUGAGCGAAGAAGGCUUUCGAGUCGUAAAGCUCUGUCCUAUGAGAAGAUAAUGACGGUACCAUAGGAGGAAGCCCCGGCUAACUACGUGCCAGCAGCCGCGGUAAUACGUAGGGGGCAAGCGUUGUCCGGAAUCACUGGGCGUAAAGGGUUCGCAGGCGGAAAUGCAAGUCAGGUGUAAAAGGCAGUAGCUUAACUACUGUAAGCAUUUGAAACUGCAUAUCUUGAGAAGAGUAGAGGUAAGUGGAAUUUUUAGUGUAGCGGUGAAAUGCGUAGAUAUUAAAAAGAAUACCGGUGGCGAAGGCGACUUACUGGGCUCAUUCUGACGCUGAGGAACGAAAGCGUGGGUAGCAAACAGG
rnacentral:rRNA from 1 species